rnacentral:rRNA from 1 species
GACGGAGGGUGCUAGCGUUGUUCGGAAUGACUGGGCGUAAAGGGCGCGUAGGCGGCUCGUGAAGUCGGGUGUGAAAGCCCGGGGCUCAACCCCGGAACGGCAUCCGAUACUGGCGGGCUUGAGACCGGGAGAGGAGGGUGGAAUACCCAGUGUAGAGGUGAAAUUCGUAGAUAUUGGGUGGAACACCGGUGGCGAAAGCGGCUCUCUGGCCCGGAUCUGACACUGAGGCACGAAAGCGUGGGGAGCAAACAGG